rnacentral:rRNA from 1 species
UACGUAGGGGGCUAGCGUUGUCCGGAUUUAUUGGGCGUAAAGAGCUCGUAGGCGGCUUGUCGCGUCGGCCGUGAAAACCUGCAGCUUAACUGUGGGCGUGCGGUCGAUACGGGCAUCACUGGAGUUCGGUAGGGGAGACUGGAAUUCCUGGUGUAGCGGUGAAAUGCGCAGAUAUCAGGAGGAACACCGGUGGCGAAGGCGGGUCUCUGGGCCGAUACUGACGCUGAGGAGCGAAAGCGUUGGGAGCAAACAGG